UUUUCUCUUCAUUUAAUUAUAUUCUACUGAUGUGGCUUUCCAUGGUUCCUUGCAACUCUGCAAUCGUCAUAGUAUCCAUAUCGUGGGACUCUAGUAUCGUAGUCACCACAUGGUCAUACUUCAUCGGCAUGGUGCGAAGAAUUUUCUCCACCACUUUGCUAUCGGGCAUAUCUUCUCCAUAGACUCUCAUCUUAUUGACAAAGUCUGUAACACGAGUAAAAUAUUGCUCAACGGUUUCUGAGCUAGACAUCUCAUACCUUUCAUAUUCUCUUCUCAAAGACUGUAGCUUUGCUUUCUGAGCUUUAUCUACGCCUUUAUAUGACAGUUUCAACGUGUUCCAUGCUUCUUUUGCACUUUUAGCAUUUGCUAUUUUGCCAAACACCGUAUAAUCUACUCCUUGAUGAAUUUGAAAUAGCGCCAAUUGAUCUCUCCUUUGUUGGGCAACAUCUGCUCCUUCUUACAAACCUGGUUCAAUGAAAUUCCACCGGUUCUGGGCCUUCAAAUGGGUAGACAUCAAAGUCUUCCAAUAACUAUAAUCAAGUUUCCCAUCUAACUUGGGACCGGACCACACAAUAUUAAAAGUGUUUGCCAUACCGACUCUAUGAAUCAACAACUAUGUGAGAACUCUCCCACACCUCGCAAACUCUCAAACACCAGGCGCCGGAUUAACCAGCUCUGAUACCAAUUGUAAGUAAAAUACCCACACUUCAAUUGGCCCCAAGAUCACUCACUUUCUUAAGUAACACUAUCAUAUUUUCAAUCUCUCAAACUCACCAACACUCAUAUGAAAUAAUAGAACAAAGAAGGACUUCACAUAAUCAUAUCUUUUUUCAU